AGUGGAGCGAUGAAGGGACGCGGCGUGGUAGGUCAGCCUCUUAACGGAUUGAGGUGCCAAACGCGUAGGACGUUGAAGGGUGUAGGUAAGUCCGCACCCCGAGUCCGAAACGUGAUGGCGGUGCCUUAGAGCCACAAGUGAUUGAGCCAUGCCGCCUAGAAAAGCUUCUAAGCGUUGAUAUUUGAGUGACCGUACCGCAAACCGACACUGGUAGGAGGGUAGAAUAUACCAAGGGGAGCGAGAGAACCCUCGUUAAGGAAUUAGGCAAAUUUCCCCCGUACGUUCGCAAUAAGGGGGGCCUCUGGUGGUGAGCUUAAUCGCAAAGCUGCUGGAGGCCGCAGAGAAAUGGCUCUUCCAACUGUUUAACAAAAACACAGGUCUCUGCUAAGUCGAAAGACGAAGUAUAGGGGCUGACGCCUGCCCAGUGCUGGAAGGUUAAGGGGAGAGGUUAGGCGCAAGCCGAAGCUUUGAGCCGAAGCCCCAGUGAACGGCGGCCGUAACAAUAACGGUCCUAAGGUAGCGAAAUUCCUUGUCGGGUAAGAUCCGACCCGCACGAAUGGCGUAAUGAGAGGAGCACUGUCUCAACAGGGACUCGGCGAACAUUGAAGGACGUGUGAAGAUACACGUGACCCGCAGCGGGACAAAAAGACCCCGUGAAGCUUUACCACAACUUGCCAUUGAGUUAGGGCUAAACCUGUGUAGUAUAGGUGGGAGGCUUUGAAGCUGGGACGCCAGUCUCGGUGGAGCCACCGUUGAAAUACCACCCUGGUUUAUUCUUGGCUCUAACCUGUCGCCGUUAUCCGGCAUGGGAACAGUGGCUGGUGGGUAGUUUGACUGGGGCGGUCGCCUCCGAAAGCGUAACAGAGGCGCCCAAAGGUUCCCUCAGGCUGAAUGGAAACCAGCCGUUGAGUGUAAAGGCACAAGGGAGCUUGACUGCAAGACCAACAAGUCGCGCAGGGACGAAAGUCGGGCUUAGUGAUCCCACGGUUCAGAGUGGAAUGGCCGUGGCUUACCGGAUAAAAGCUACUCCGGGGAUAACAGGGUAGUCUGGUCCAAGAGUUCAUAUCGACGACCAGGUUCGCCACCUCGAUGUCGGCUCAUCACAUCCUGGGGCUGGAUAAGGUCCCAAGGGUUGGGCUGUUCGCCCAUUAAAGUGGUACGUGAGCUGGGUUCAGACCGUCGUGAGACAGGUCGGUCUCUAUCCGCUGUGGGCGUAAGGGAUUUGAGAGAAGCUGCCCCUGGUACGAGAGGACCGGGGUGGACGGACCUCUAGUGUGCCAGUUGUUCUGCCAAGAGCAUUGCUGGGUAGCUACGUCCGGCAGAGAUAACCGCUGAAAGCAUCUAAGUGGGAAACUCGUCUCAAGAUUAGAUCCCUCAUCCGUAUGGAGUAAGACCGCUAGAAGACUACUAGUUUGAUAGGCGGCAGGUGUAAGCGCAGUAAUGUGUUCAGCUUAGCCGUACUAAUGGUCGAGGGCUUACGUUU
rnacentral:rRNA from 1 species